UGGGGAAUAUUGGACAAUGGGCGCAAGCCUGAUCCAGCCAUGCCGCGUGUGUGAAGAAGGCCUUCGGGUUGUAAAGCACUUUUGUACGGGAAGAAAAGCACUCGGUUAAUACCCGGGUGUCAUGACGGUACCGUAAGAAUAAGCACCGGCUAACUUCGUGCCAGCAGCCGCGGUAAUACGAAGGGUGCAAGCGUUACUCGGAAUUACUGGGCGUAAAGCGUGCGUAGGUGGUUUGUUAAGUCUGAUGUGAAAGCCCUGGGCUCAACCUGGGAAUUGCAUUGGAUACUGGCAGUCUAGAGUGCGGUAGAGGGUAGCGGAAUUCCCGGUGUAGCAGUGAAAUGCGUAGAUAUCGGGAGGAACAUCCGUGGCGAAGGCGGCGUACCUGGACCAGCACUGACACUGAGGCACGAAAGCGUGGGGAGCGAAACAGGAUUAGAUACCCUGGUAGUCCACGCCCUAAACGAUGCGAACUGGAUGUU
rnacentral:rRNA from 1 species